AAUAUUGGACAAUGGGCGAAAGCCUGAUCCAGCCAUGCCGCGUGUGUGAAGAAGGUCUUCGGAGUNUAAAGCACUUUAGGUUGGGANGAAGGGCUGUAGAUUAAUACUCUGCAAUUUUGACGUUACCGACAGAAGAAGCACCGGCUAACUUCGUGCCAGCAGGCGCGGUAAUACGGAGGGGGCAAGCGUUAAGCGGAAUUACUGGGCGUAAAGCGCGCGUAGGUGGUUCGUUAAGUUGGAUGUGGAAGCCCCCGGCUCAACCAGGGAACUGCAUCCAAAACUGGCGGGAUAGAGUACGGUAGAGGGUGGUGGAAUUUCCUGUGUAGCGGUGAAAUGCGUAGAUAUAGGAAGGAACACCAGUGGCGAAGGCGACCACCUGGACUGAUACUGACACUGGGGUGCGAAAGCGUGGGGAGCAAACAGG
rnacentral:rRNA from 1 species